rnacentral:lncRNA from 1 species
GAUCAGUGCAUUUUGGCACAUAUUUUCUAGUAUUAUAAUUUAGCAUAUUAGUAGUCUUUCUACAAUAAUAUUGAGUUUUUAUUAUGUUUCUAAGUUUUGGGUCACAAUUGAGCCUUAAUGAAUUUAUUUGACCAAUUUUCGUAUUUAAUGACAUAUUGACACCUUCUCAUUGCGCAGACCAUAACUUGAGCUACGUAUAUCGGAUUGAGGUGCGGGAAGAUGUGUUGGAAAGCUAAGAUAAAGAGCUACAACUUUCAUGUUGAUGUCGAAAUCCAGUUCAGAGCGAAAAGGAGUCGUUUAUUCACAUUUAUGUUCCAGACUUAGUGAUAAUAAUGUAAUUUCGGGCCAAACUUCUAAUUUUCGGCCCGAUACUUUUAGAGCCUGUUUCCCAUGUAUUAUAAAAGUCAAAAAACGCAGCCUAGGGUUCAUAAUUCUGAAUUCACGCAAAAAUAGAGGCUGCUACAUUCUCAUGGAAAACUAGCAACCCUAGGUUGAUCCGUUGGUAUACGGGAACAUCGUUC